CGUUACAAUUAACACUUUAAAAAUUUUCCUCAGUUGUCUUUCGUCAAUUAAUUUUUUUCUGUUGGCUUUUAAGGUAACCAUGCGACAGAUAGAGAAGACAGUCCAUCAUUAACAAAAUCAAGAUUGUGAGGCAGAUACAGUCAGUACAUACAGACCUUGAAAGAUUGCAAAACACUCUUCAAUUCAACAAGACUGUGCAGUUAGUAAAAGGAAAAAAUCUCCCAGCACUAAACCCAUUGACCAAUUGAUUCGAACAAACUCAGAUAAUCUUAUUGCAUCGAAACCCUCAAGAACAGAGCAAGGAAUGAUAAAAUUAGAGUUCCAAAGAUAAUGCCAAAAGAAAAGAUUAUCCCAGAAUACUCUGGAAGUUUAUCUACUUGAAAUAAAGUUUAUUGUAAUUCUGGCAUAAAGGCAUCCGUUAACGAAAUUUGUCACGCCGAAAGAAAAAAAGCAAUAUUUACGUAGGAGUAAAAACUCGCGCUUUUGAGGGGGCAAACCACAUGUUCGCAAGAAGGAAAAGGAAAGAUUUAUCCCUUCGGUAGUUGAAACAUUUUUUUGGAAUGGCUCAGAAAACUGAAAAAUAUUUUCGAAAAAAAACUAAGUCUUUUGGCGGGAAAAAUGUCUCUGGAAAAAAAAGGUCUGCGCUUUUGAAUUGUGUCUUGUGUUGAUCAGAAAAUAUACAGAGUCUUUUGGCGGGAAAAAUCCUGCAAUGUGUAGUUUAUUUCUUCCCAUCAGAAGUAAAGUAUAUAUUUUGUUUUAACACUAGCUCCCGUUCAAAUCCGUAGAAAUUUUUUUCCCCUGGGCAACCCUCCAUACGCGAAAAAAAGUAAAAGAGAUAGCCUAUAUUUUGACCAGUUACCAGGCCCUUUCAAAAGCGCAAUUUUUUUUAAAUUGCUCGUGCGCUCAGUUAAAUACAAAGGAAGAGGAAAGAGACAAUAAAGUAACUAAAGAAUUAUUUCUUUUUGUAAGUUUAUUUUCAAAAUGCAAGUAAAAAGUUUUUCAACACUAAGAUAAUAAAAUUGAUGAUUUACAAACUAACUUGU